rnacentral:rRNA from 1 species
GAUGAACGCUGGCGGCGUGCCUAAUACAUGCAAGUCGAGCGAACAGACGAGGAGCUUGCUCCUCUGACGUUAGCGGUGGACGGGUGAGUAACACGUGGAUAACCUACCUCUAAGACUGGGAUAACUUCGGGAAACCGGAGCUAAUACCGGAUAAUAUAUUGAACCGCAUGGUUCAAUAGUGAAAGACGGUUUUGCUGUCACUUAUAGAUGGAUCCGCGCCGCAUUAGCUAGUUGGUAAGGUAACGGCUUACCAAGGCAACGAUGCGUAGCCGACCUGAGAGGGUGAUCGGACACACUGGAACGGAGACACGGUCCAGACUCCUACGGGAGGCAGCAGUAGGGAAUCGUCCGCAAUGGGCGAAAGCCUGACGGAGCAACGCCGCGUGAAUGAUGAAGGUCUUCGGAUCGUAAAACUCUGUUAUUAGGGAAGAACAAAUGUGUAAGUAACUAUGCACGUCUUGACGGUACCUAAUCAGAAAGCCACGGCUAACUACGUG